UGUGUCUGGUUAGGCCUCGGUCCAUGAUACAAUUAAACAAGAGACAGAGAGAGAGAGCGAGAGAGAGAGAGGAGCGAGAGAGAAGGAGAGAUUGAGGAUGGAGGAGGGAGAAUGGAACAACAGCUCCAGGAGCUCCAUGAAGCGAUUGUUGAAGGGGAAGAUAAAUUAGAAGCAUUCAGAGGAAUACUGAAAGAAGAUCCAAAGAUUCUUGAUAGGAUUAAGGUGGGUUGUUUCAUUCACACUCCUCUACACGUUGCAGCAUACCACGGGCGAUUAAAAUUUGUCGAAGCAAUUCUAGAGGAAAGUCCGGGACUUGUUGAAGUGCUGGGUUCGCGACGAUGGUCUCCUCUUCACUUGGCAUCUGCUCAAGGCCAUCUUGACAUUGUACAAGCACUCGUAUCGAAAAAUCGUGACAUGUGCACAUCUCUUGAUGGAGAUGCUAGAACCCCGCUCCAUCUUGCAGCCAUGAAAGGUAAGAAGGAGGUCUUGGACAAGUUGUUUGAAGAAAGCCUGUAUACCCCUCAUGAAUUGAUGAAUGCCAAGGAUGUUGCUGGUAAUACCAUAUUGCAUCUAAGCUGUCAGGAAUAAAGAAUUCGAGGAAUCACACGGGAGGAAUGGAAAUAUCAUUACUAAUAAUGAGUUUAUUAGCAAUAAGUUUUCUGAGAGGGUAAUUUAUAUAUAAAUUGGGUUAAGCUGGUUAAUGGGCCGUUGUGGGCCACAGUAAGAAGGGCGGAGUAAAAAAAGCCUUGGCGUUAGCCCGGUCCCCAAAAAGGCAUUGUUGUUAUCCCAGUCCAAGAGAGUGUUAUGGAUAGUCCGGUCACCACACUCAGAGUUAGCUCGGUCGUGGCAUAAUGCAGUUAGCUCGGUAAGACUUAGCUAUUCGUUAGCACAGCCUAAGCACACUAUGGAUUAGUAUGGUUUGUACAGAAGAAACCAAGGUACACGUAGUGAAAGGAAGAACCGAGCUAGGUAGAGCUCGGUCUGUUAUGCGGCUUUAGCAUGGCCAUGUUAUCUCGGUCGUGUUGACAUCCAAACUAGGUAAAACCAUCUCAGUUGGUUUAAGCAGUGGGGGUGUUAGAGGAUAAGCAUUAUCUUUCAGGAAUGUGAUUCAUAGGAGGACACUACAUGGAGGAGUAAGAGUCCUACUGGGAUUGUGUCACGCGGAACCUAUAAAAGCU